ACAUGAAGCUGGAAUUGCUAGUAAUCACAGGUCAGCAUACUGUGGUGAAUACGUUCCCGGGCCUUGUACACACCGCCCGUCACACCAUGAGAGUUGAGAAUACCCGAAGCCCAUGUCAAAGUGGUCGAAGGUUAGGCUUGAUGAUUGGGGUGAAGUCGUAACAAGGUACC
rnacentral:rRNA from 1 species